AUUGAACGCUGGCGGCAGGCCUAACACAUGCAAGUCGAACGAGUGGCGGACUGGUGAGUAAUGUCUGGGAAACUGCCCGAUGGAGGGGGAUAACUACUGGAAACGGUAGCUAAUACCGCAUACCAUCGUAUGUGCCCAGAGUGGAUUAGCUAGAAGGUGGGGGAACGGCUCACCUAGUCGACGAUCCCUAGAUGGUCUGAGAGGAUGACCGGCCACACAGAAAAGGAGACACGAACCAAAGUCCGACGGGAGGCAGCAGGGGGGAAGAUUGCACAAUGGGCGCAAGCCUGAUGCAGCCAUGCCGCGUGAAUGAAGAAGGCCUUCGGGUUGUAAAGUACUUUCAGCGGGGAGGCGUUACUCGCAGAAGAAGCACCGGCUAACUCCGUGCCAGCCGCAGCGGUAAUUC
rnacentral:rRNA from 1 species